CUAAACGCCAGUGUGGUUCAGCUGCAGCCGGUGAGGAACGGAUGGAAUUCCCAACCUGGUUGUGGUGGUGGAGAUUAAGAUAUUCAGUGUCUUUCAGAAGUUGCUUGUGAGGUCUUUCUGUCAGUAAAUCCAGUCAUCCUUCAAAUGAAAGGAGCUCACUUCAGCAGAAGAGAAAAGUCGGUUCAGGACUUCUAGGCACAUGUAUGCCAGGCACUCAAUUUCAUUUGUUUAUUGACAACACUUGGAAAUUUAUCCUGGAACUCCAAAUCCCAAGAUGACCAUCUUUUGUAAGUUCUCCUGGUCAUUUUUAUGCUUGUAUACUUGACCGCCUAUCAUGAACCAUCUUGUUUAUAGUUUGUCUUUAAUGCUGCUGUUAUAGUUUCUACUAGUGAAAGUGUUGGUUUUUGUUCUGGGUGCACAUAAAAUGGCUGUUUUAAAUUUGCUUUCAAUUUUAAAUUCUUAUCAGUUAAUAACCAAAAAAAUAGGAGCUUAAUAGGAGUUCAAUUUAAAUUUGACCGUUUGAUGUUUUAAUGGUAACUGUUGGAUUUUUACGUAUUGCUACCUCUUAAGCCUACAGCACACUCACACCCAGCAGGCAUUAAUUAACAGAGCUGGAGAUUAUUGUGAAAUGACAGACAGAAGUUAACAUUAAGCAGAAAGUUUAUAAUAAAAACAGCGUGCUGAAUCUUGUUUUAGAAGCCAUUUCCUGUCAUUUAUUAAAUUAGACUCCUCUUUUAUUAGGAAUCUGGUAUAUAAACAGAACUUCAUUAAAUAACUGAAUUGAAAUACUGUUUUGAAAAUGAAUGGCUUCAGUCACUGUCACUAUCUGUAACAUCUUCUCAUUAAGUUAUUUUAAAUGGGCGUAAACAACUUCUGUUCCAUACAACAAAUCAAUCAAAUCAGAAGCGAUAUCAGUUCUGUGGCAUGCCAUUUUGCUGCAGCAGUAUACACUCUGCACAGUUUAAUAAGGAGGCUUCUAAUACUUAGAGUAGAGCAUCAUUUCUACAAUGAACCUUUUUUUGUUUUGUUCCUGUUUAUAAGUGACUGCAGACAUCAUACAUGUUGCGCAUAGCAGCCAUGCCAGGAGUUGGUGUCAUCUUGAAGAUUCCUGAUGUGACUGGAAUUGGAGCUUUUAACCUCAUGUCGAUCGGUACCUGUGCUCCAUGUGCUGUUAUUACAGGCAAUUUUACAUGGCAGUACAAAAAAACUGCUAGUGCUCUACUUUAAUGCACACCUUGUUUACAGCUUGGUCCAGUGUUGUCUGAUUACCUUGAUUGUUGCUGAACUUUAGAUGUUUGUGCAUUUCUGAAGACACUUAGAACACAUGAGCAAAGAAGGGUACAACCUAUCUGGAGACAUUCGACUAAGCUGCUUCUGUUACUAUUUGCAAUGAAAUAAAUAUGCUUACCUUGAAAGCUCUUGUUUCAUUUUCAUUCCGUGGUGUUGAACAUUGGUCCAUCAGGUCUUCAGACACCAGGUCCAGUCUUCUUUUUUGCUGGCUUAUCCAUGUGUUUGUUGUGAUCUUUGUAAUAACUAAUGGUAAUAUGUAAAUAAAGACGUUUUUACUAAUUGCCUAUUUCUAGGGCUUGGAACUUCAGUGUAUGACCCCAUGUAUAAUUAGGCAAGGACAACAGCCAUGGACUUUGCUCUGUUAAGUCCUGUUGCCUCCAGGAUUUACUAUCUUGAGCAGAUUAAAUAUUCAGAUUCUGUCCAGUUAUGUGAAGACUUCUUAGCAGAGGUAAAACCUGCAAAUAUUCUUAGUGUUAACAUGAAAGAAAUCUGUAUUGUUGUAUGUGCUCAAUUCUACAGACAGCUUUAUUUAGCUAGUGCUGUUUAGAUGUGCUUGAGAAUGGAGAAUGUCUGCAUAUGGUCAUAUCUGUGUAUAAUUAAGUUUGGCUUUUGUAAAAACUCCAGCCUGUUCGUGUGUUUCUAACUCAACGAUGUAGUUAACGUGGCAUACUUUCUGUUUAAUGAGCAGUUAUGUCGUCAUUGCUAAGUGUUUCAUCCUUCCUUGAUGUCACUUGUAUGAAGUGGUGAUCCUGGACAGCGCACUGUGGCUCUGUCUGAAGUGAGAGUUAAUGAAGGGCUUAUAGUGUUAACUGCCUUCCGUCGUGGUGUUUCGCUGCUGCAAUACGAAACUCGCUGGCCACUUCUUGCGUGGCGCGAUCAAAUGUGAACGUUAGACAGUCACUGAAUGCAGUGGCUCUUCCCAGGUCUCGGAGGAAGCCUGUGCUAGCUUUACCCCAGAAAAUGAAUAAUGCACUCAUACGGUCCCACUGUGAGAGCUUUUUGUAAAUGUACCACAUUCACUGGUGCUGGAUGAGCUCAUUAUUAAAUGCACAGCUUCCCAAAAAAUGAACGUGAAUUUGAAAAAUGUGAGAUUCAUUUGGCCUCAAACUAAAGACCUGAAUGGUCUAAAUCAGCUAACCGUUAAUUGUAGAGUUGGGGUGGGCAACCCUGAUCCUGGAGGGCCAGAUUCCUGCACAGUUUGGUGAUUUGCCUCCUCACACACAGGAUUCAACCUAUCAGCUAAUAGCCAGGUUAGGUCUGUGUACCUGUGCAGGAAUCCAGCCCUCCAAGACCAGGGCUGCCCACUCUGGCUGUAAAGGGUGGAUUAAAAUAAUCGGCUGAUUACUGUUACAAAACUGCCAUUAAGCAACGGCCAUCACACCAAGUAAGACAUCAUCAGUACUCAGAGGGCCAAUGGGCUUAAAGCUAAUUAAGCCACAGUCCGCAUUAAGCAGCACUAAGUAACGUUCCCCUUGCUUUGUUUACAUACUAAAUGCUGGGAAUGAUCAUUUUCCAUAGGUUAGGGUUGGGUUAGUAACGGUGCAACCUCCAAAAGAAGAGCCACCGGGAUUUACGUACGGCAGAGUUGGCACUAUGGGUGUGGAUACGAGGAGGCGAGGUUCCAAGUUCAAGUGCACACGCGAUUAUUUCAUUGCACAGAAAAACAAAAGAAAAACCGAAUCAAACAGAAAGAAAACGAAAGAUAAACUGGACAGUUACUUGAGGCGUCACCGCGAGGCUAAUCCUCAUCACGCAAGCUAUUCCCCAGCUGUUACAAGCAGCUAACAGCAUCACACCGGAUUACACCGCUCCUCCCACAGGUAGCUGAGAAGACCUAGCUGAAGAACACCGAGCGCUCUGAUCAUCGAAGCCCCGCCCACACUAAACUAAUAACCCGCUCGGAGGGACCCGGAUGUCCCAAGGCUCUAAUUUACACACACACACACACACACACACACACACACACACACACACACACACACACACCCAUCUACACAACUGCUGACCAGUCAUGUUUUGGGAUUUUAUCUGUUUAACCGUGUGUUGAUGGAGAUGCCAAGUCUUAAGUCCACUGGUACAAAACAUUUUGCCCACUGUCUGUUUUAUGUUUUAAUCCCUGAGGAUGAUGUUGGUGCUGCAGAGAGUGCAUCAUAAACGGACUCUGCAUGGACCUCAAUGAGGACCCUAAGGAUCUGGUGCAGGAGUACAUGGUGAGCGUGCAAGACUUCACUGAGGCCAACACACUAAGAGCCCUAGAGAGAGCGGUGGUGGGGAUCUUUGCUGUCAGAGAGACUCCCGGCAGUAACUCUUCUGAUGUGGGACUGAUCCUCGAGGGUGUGGUGGUGCUUCACGACCUGGAGAAUGUGGCCCUUGCAGCUGCCAUGCUGUUUGGAUUUUUUCCCUCUUAAAUAUGAGGGACCGUCGGAGCUGCACUGCACCCUGGAAGAUAUUCACAAGAUAAUCAUGGAGCUGGAUGCAGCCGAUCUAUCAAGAAAGGCCCAGAGCUUGAGAACUAAAGUCCUCCAGUGAGGAGAGCUGCGUUGUUUUUGCUCCACCCUUCCUGUAAAAGAAGGGCAGUUCUACAUUCGUGGACUGAGCAGUGUGGCUGGUUCUACAGACGUUAGUUUUAAUGACUGUGAGGUUCUCAGGCUGUUUGACUGCUGAUUUCUGGUUGCUGUGUUUCAGUUAUAAUUACUGUGCACUUCUCUACAUAUUUGAUAUCACUGCUCUGGUGAUUGUGUGUGAUGUGUGAAUAAUAAUGACUGUUGCGUCUGCAGAGAUUUGCCUUUUAUUUUUUCUAGUUGAAAACAUUUGACUGACGUUUUAAGUUGGUACAUUUAGACUGGGGACACCUGCUGU